rnacentral:rRNA from 1 species
UACGUAGGCAGCAAGCGUUGUUCGGAGUUACUGGGCGUAAAGAGUGCGUAGGCGGUGCCCUAAGUCUGUUGUGAAAUCUCCCGGCUUAACUGGGAGGGUGCGGUGGAAACUGGGGUGCUUGAGAGUGGGAGAGGUUAGCGGAAUUCCUGGUGUAGCGGUGAAAUGCGUAGAUAUCGGGAGGAACACCAGUGGCGAAGGCGGGCAUCUGGGCCAACACUGACGCUGAGGCGCGAAAGCCAGGGGAGCAAACAGG